rnacentral:rRNA from 1 species
AAGUAAAUUAUUAUUAUUUUUUUUAUUUAAUAUAUAGAUUAUUCAAAUUAUUUUAAGUUUUUAUUAUUUUUUAAGAAAAGAUUUAUUUAAUAAUAGUUAAUUAUUUUUGUGAAAUAAUUUUUUAAUUUUAUAAUAAGAAAAAUUUAUUAUUUGUACCUUGUGUAUCAGGGUUGAUUAAAUUAAAAAUUUUAUUAAUUAUAUCCCGAAUUUAAGAGAGCUAUAUUUUUAUUUAUUUUAUUGUUUCAUAAAUAUUUUAAAUUUAAAUGUUGUAAUGAAAUGUUAUUCGUUCUUAAUAUUUAUCUGGUUUUCUAAGAAAUAAAUUUAAUUUAGAACUUUUGAAUAAAUUUUUAAUUUUUAAAUAUUUAUUAUUAAGUUUUAAUUUGUUAAGGGAUAAUCUUUAAUAAAUAUAUUUAUUAUGUAUUAAUUAUUUAACUUUUAUUUUAGAUUAAAAUUGUUUAAAGUUUUUAGUAUUUUAUAAUUAAUUGGAUUUUAAGAUUUAAUUUUUAUUUUUUAUAAAUAUUUUAUUGGAAUAUAAAUUUAAAUAAAAUUAAUUUAGCAUUAAUGAUUAAAUUAGUAAAUUUUAUUUUAUAUAUACAUAUUUAUAUAUUUAUAAAGAUUAUUAUAAAAGGAAUUCGGCAAAUAUUUUUUUCACCUGUUUAUUAAAAACAUGGCCUUUUGUAUUAAAUUUUAGGUCUGACCUGCCCAGUGAUUAUUUUAACGGCCGCAGUAAUUUGACUGUGCUAAGGUAGCAUAAUCAUUAGUUUUUUAAUUAAAAACUGGAAUGAAAGGUUGAAUGAGAGAAAAACUGUCUCUAUAUAAAAUUUUGAAUUUAACCUUUAAGUGCAAAGGCUUAAAUUUUAUUAAAAGACGAGAAGACCCUUUAGAGUUUUAGAUAAAAUUUAUAUUAUACUUUUUAGUAUAUAUAUGUUGUUUAAAUUUUAUUUUUGAUUGGGGUGAUUAUUAAAUUUAUUUAACUUUAAUUUUUAUAAACAUAUAUUAAUGAUUAAUUGAUCCAUAAAAAUGAUUAUUAGUUAAAUUACCUAAGGGAUAACAGCGUAAUUUUUUUGGAGAGUUCAUAUCGAUAAAAAAGAUUGCGACCUCGAUGUUGGAUUAAAAUAUGUAGUUAGGUGUAGAAGCUAAUUAACUUGGUCUGUUCGACCAUUAAAAUUUUACAUGAUCUGAGUUUAGACCGGCGUGAGCCAGGUUGGUUUCUAUCUUUAAAUAUUUAGAAAAUUUUAGUACGAAAGGACCGAAUUUUCAUAAUAUUUAUUAAAAUUUGAAUAUUAUU